AAUUGUUACUAAAGCAGAUUUAGUGGCUUUGGGCCCACAACAACUAAACAAAAAUACCUCACCUCUACACAGACACCUGUACCUUGGCAGAGUGUUUUCCUGACAGGACUGGGCAAGCUCAAACUGACAGAGCUGAAACCUUCCCCAAGAAGAAUGAGAUGAGUCACCAGGCCUGAGGCUCACUGGCCUGUGACUGCUGGGAACUCGGGCUCCUGUCCUCUACUCUUGUUGGAUAUCAUUCCACAGUCCAGUAAUGGCUUCUCCAGAAUCCAGUUCUUACUGAGACAUACGUGAAGGUUGCUAUUGAUCGUGGUUUCUUAUCACAACAGUAGAAACCAAAUGAAGUCACAACCCUUUGGUUUCCAGGCCUCCCAGGGCUACCAUCUCCUGCUGCUGUCCUGCCUGAGUGGAGAAACAUUUCCUGUCUCCGGUUGGGGUUAAGGUCUGUGCUGUGCAUCUGGAAUAUGAGGAAGAAGUGAUGCUGGAUCCAUGCCUAAGUCUCCAGAAGGAAGACAGAGAGCCCAUGCUUGUGCCCUGGAAGACAGCUGCCAUACUGUCAGGAAGCUCCAAGAGACUACUGACCCAGAAAAGGAGCAUAGUGCAUCCUACAGUGGGGUGCCAUCUUGUGAGUCCCAGUGCCAGACAAACUCUUCCAGCUGAGUGGAGUUCCUGCAUAAACUCAGACACACCCUGUGGUUCAGAACUGCCCACAUGGGCCCAGUCCACCCACAGAAUGGCCAGGCAUGCUAAGGUUUUCCUAAUGGAAGCUGUUUAACAUGGAGAGGCUUGUUAUGAAACAGUAAAUGCGUCAGCAAGCUCCAGUGUGGGUUUCUUUUCCAUUUCUUUAGAAAGAUUAAAUUUCUAAUUGUUAUUUUCUUUAUUUUGUGCCUUAUAAAAAACACUUGAAGUGUUUGCUACUGAUAAUUAUUACCAGAAAUCAAAUAGAAAAAGACACCUUCCUCUUACUCCCCUUGUCAC